rnacentral:rRNA from 1 species
UGGGGAAUAUUGGACAAUGCGGGAAACCGUGAUCCAGCAAUGCCGCGUGAGUGAUGAAGGCCUUAGGGUUGUAAAGCUCUUUUACCAGGGAUGAUAAUGACAGUACCUGGAGAAUAAGCUCCGGCUAACUCCGUGCCAGCAGCCGCGGUAAUACGGAGGGAGCUAGCGUUGUUCGGAAUUACUGGGCGUAAAGCGCGCGUAGGCGGCUAUCCAAGUCAGGGGUGAAAUCCCGGGGCUCAACCCCGGAACUGCCCUUGAAACUAGGUAGCUAGAAUACUGGAGAGGUGAGUGGAAUUCCGAGUGUAGAGGUGAAAUUCGUAGAUAUUCGGAAGAACACCAGUGGCGAAGGCGCUCUACUGGGCCAUGACUGACGCUGAUGGACGAAAGCUAGGGGAGCGAAAGGGAUUAGAUACCCCCGUAGUCC